AUUGAACGCUGGCGGCAUGCUUUACACAUGCAAGUCGAACGGUAACAGGUUAAGCUGACGAGUGGCGAACGGGUGAGAAAUGCAUCGGAACGUGCCCGAUCGUGGGGGAUAACGCAGCGAAAGCUGCGCUAAUACCGCAUACGAUCUGAGGAUGAAAGCGGGGGACCGUAAGGCCUCGCGCGAUCGCAGCGGCCGAUGUCAGAUUAGGUAGUUGGUGGGGUAAAGGCCCACCAAGCCGACGAUCUGUAGCUGGUCUGAGGGGACGACCAGCCACGGUGAGACUGAGACAGGGCCCGGACUCCUAUGGGGGGCAGAAGGGGGGAAUUUUGGACAAUGGGCGGGAGCCUGAUCCAGCAAUGCCGCGUGCAGGAAGGAGGCCUUCGGUUUGUAAACUGCUUUUGUACGGAGCGAAAAGGUCCUUUCUAAUACAAGGGGCUCAUGACGGUACCGUAAGAAUAGGCACCGGGUAACUACGUGCCAGCAGCCGGCGUAA
rnacentral:rRNA from 1 species